rnacentral:misc_RNA from 1 species
AAGUCGCAACAAGGUCUCCGUAGGUGAACCUGCGGAGGGAUCAUUACCAAAGAUGGCGGGCCUCCGUGCCCCCGUCCCCAACCCAUUGUUGACCAAAACCCUUUUUGCCUCGGGGGCAGAGCGUCCGCCGCCGCCCCCGGAGGACCAUUUAACGCUGUCUCUUUGCGUCGGAGUAUUGAUUAAAUAAAUGAAAACUUUCAACAACGGAUCUCUUGGUUCUG